rnacentral:rRNA from 1 species
AAACGGGUGGCGUCAAGCUGCAAGCCGGGAGAAUUCAGUCGAUUAGGGUGUCAAUGCGCCUGGCGCAUGGAACAGUCGGAGUGAGUCUGGAUGGUCUGCUGGAAGACAGUGGGUCCUGCCGCAAGGUGGGAUGUGUGUACCGGGUGUUAGCCGGAGCACGCUAUCCGUCUGCUGGACUGCCUAGUCGGUGCACUUUCUCUCAUUAUGGCUAACACCACGACCGGUGGUACAGCCAGUCUGCUAUGGCCAAGUCGUAGUUGGUGGGCACUCUGUUGUCUACUGACUGCGGCGUUCACGGGCAAACUCGGUAGACGGCGUUGGUAUUCGCCUUGUGCGGUGUCGGCGCGUGAUCGGUUACCGGUUGUCUUAACGGGCUGCCUGGCGACGUUGAAGCCGUCGUGUUGGGUGGUCUGGUGGGUCUUAGUGGUAUGAAUAACUGUGCUGGGCACCGGAGUGAUCGGCCUCAAAUGCGGUCGGCAUGCACGCUUCAAGUGUGUAUGAUGUGGGUUGCGCUGCGGCCUGCCUGUUGUUGAGCGUGACUGUCGUGUUGCCUGCGCAAAGUGGGCCCGGCGGUGGCUUGAUGCGGGUUGGUGCUGUACGCGUGGCUUGCAGUGCUGGCUGUGGUGGGCCUGAUAGUCAGUGGUGUAGUGGUAGACGAGCUACCCGACCCGUCUUGAAACACGGACCAAGGAGUUUAACAUGUGUGCAAGUCAAUGGGUCCUACGAAACCCAAAGGCGCAGUGAAAGUGAAGCCUCGACUUGUUUCGGGGUGAGGUGAGAUCCUGCUGUUACUCGCAUACUGCCAAUACCAGGCAAUAAGAGCGGUGGGCGCAUCACCGGCCCGUCCCAUGAUGUGGCCAUUGGAAUAGGGCUGCAGUGAAAGCUGUAGUACCUCCAGUGCGUCAUCGGGGCGGAG